AGCUGACUAUGCAGUAUGGGCUUUGCUCAUUUUUGAAGGUUGUACAUAGACCUAUAGCUGUUUAUUUCUGUCAUUAAUUGGUCUCUUAGGGGAGUUAUCUCUUGGCAAUCAUACCACAUCUUCUUGUUGGGAGUUAUCUCUUGGCAAUCAUACCACAUCUUCUUGUGGGGAGUUAUCUCUUGGCAAUCAUACCACAUCUUCUUGUGGGGAGUUAUCUCUAGGCAAUCAUACCACAUCUUCUUUUUUACAAUAUUAUAUACCACUCAAAUCUGAAACUUGAAAUAAAACAGACACUUACCAAUUUUAGUAACUAUUAUACUCUUGAUAAAUUUCAGUCAAUUUUAACAAUAUAAAUAAAC
rnacentral:lncRNA from 1 species